AUGACUUAAACUUAUGAGUAAGGAAAAUAACAAUUCAGGGGGACGCCCGGAUCCUCACUGCUAAUAUGAGACAAAUUUUUCAUUGGGUAAAGGUUGCCCUCAGGUGACCCACCUACUUUGCGGGAUGCCUGGGAGUCGAAAUCUACCCG
rnacentral:snRNA from 1 species